CGGUAAUGCAAAGGAGCCAUUCAUCCAGGGAUGCUGGAGGUCUGGGCUCACCUGGGAAUGGAGAUGGCAACACCUACAUGUGACCUUUCCAGCAUGGCAGUCUCAGAGUGGAUAUGGCAACAGCUGCACAUGAACUCUCCGGCAUGGCAGUCUCAGAGUGGAUAUGGCAACAGCUGCACAUGACCUCUCCGGCAUGGCAGUCUCAGAGUGGAUAUGGCAACACCUGCACACGACCUCUCCGGCAUGGCAGUCUCAGAGUGGAUAUGGCAACACCUACACACGACCUCUCCAGCAUGGCAGUCUCAGAGUGGAUAUGGCAACAGCUACACAUGACCUCACCGGCAUGGCAGUCUCAGAGUGGAUAUGGCAACAGCUACACAUGACCUCACCAGCAUGGCAGUCUCAGGUUACUGGUACUUCUUAGGUCUCAGCUGAGGACUCCAGUGCAGGUGUUGCAAGACAGCAGACGUAGCACUGCUUAUGUGUAUCCUGAAGUCCCAUGUGUAUCCUGAAGUCCCAGAAAGCUGCUUCAAGUAGAUUCCAGUGGAGAAGGGAGUCACCAAGGCUGGACAGUCAUUUAUCCAUGGCAGGACUAGCAAAAAAAUCUGCACCAUCUCUCAUCGCACACACGUGGGUAAGGUUUGGACUGGUAUGAUCUUUUUCCAUAAUGUCAUUUUCGUGAUUUCUUA
rnacentral:lncRNA from 1 species